UUACGACCAGGGCUACACACGUGCUACAAUGGCGCAUACAAAGAGAAGCGACCUCGCGAGAGCAAGCGGACCUCAUAAAGUGCGUCGUAGUCCGGAUUGGAGUCUGCAACUCGACUCCAUGAAGUCGGAAUCGCUAGUAAUCGUGGAUCAGAAUGCCACGGUGAAUACGUUCCCGGGCCUUGUACACACCGCCCGUCACACCAUGGGAGUGGGUUGCAAAAGAAGUAGGUAGCUUAACCUUCGGGAGGGCGCUUACCACUUUGUGAUUCAUGACUGGGGUGAAGUCGUAACAAGGUAACCGUAGGGGAACCUGC
rnacentral:rRNA from 1 species